rnacentral:rRNA from 1 species
AUACGGAGGAUCCGAGCGUUAUCCGGAUUUAUUGGGUUUAAAGGGAGCGUAGGCGGACGCUUAAGUCAGUUGUGAAAGUUUGCGGCUCAACCGUAAAAUUGCAGUUGAUACUGGGUGUCUUGAGUACAGUAGAGGCAGGCGGAAUUUGUGGGGUAGCGGUGAAAUGCUUAGAUAUCACGAAGAACUCCGAUUGCGAAGGCAGCCUGCUGGACUGUAACUGACGCUGAUGCUCGAAAGUGUGGGUAUCAAACAGGAUUAGAUACCCUGGUAGUCCACACAGUAAACGAUGAAUACUCGCUGUUUGCGAUAUACAGUAAGCGGCCAAGCGAAAGCGUUAAGUAUUCCACCUGGGGAGUACGCCGGCAACGGUGAAACUCAAAUGAAUUGGCGGGG